rnacentral:lncRNA from 1 species
AUGCAGGCUGGGGAGGAAGAGAGGAGCCACGUGUCCCAAGCGAAGCACUUGAGUUCCAUCUCACAGGCUGUCUGAGGUCCGAGGUGGCAUUUGGGCAGGGAGGAGAUCAGUUUAUAAAAGGUUCACGUGGGGGACAGAAGGGAAGACAGCGUGGUUAGAGAGAGAGAAGAGUUUCAGGUUAGAGGAGCUAGGAGAGGGGACAGUAGUUAUGAGAGAAGAUGGUGACAAACUAGACAGGGAGAAUGAUUGAUGUGAGGAAAAACUAGACUCGAGAGACAGCUGAGCAGUAGUAUUUUAGGUUUCAGAGUCGGCCCUCCUGUUGUCACCAUGGGUCACUGCUGAUGAGGAGCUGAACUGAAUGGAGCAUUUGGUAUUUUCCCUUGGAAACAAGGCUGCAGUGAUAGUUGGAUUGUGUCAACUUGAGUAAGAAACUGCCAGCUAAACUGGAUCAGUGCAGUUGUGAGUGAGGCUGAGGGCAUUAUGGAGGACAGGAGAGCCACGCUAGGCUGGCUUGUCACCUGAGUGGUACAAAAGCGAAACGAGGGAGGAAGGCUCGCUUCUGUUUCUUUGGAGGAGCUCCAGUCUUUGCCUUCCCCUCGGACGUCAUCUCCUGGCUUCCGGUGCAGACUCUCUGGCCUCCUGAUAGGGACUCGCACGGGACACUGCAGGGAGCUCCAGGCCUUCAGCUGGACCUUUCAGAUCCCCAGUGCACAGACGGACCUUUUGCACUCUUCGACCCCCGACUCUGUGUUCGGCCACUUAUACUAUGAAGUUCUCUAACCUCAGCUUUGUCAUCUGCAAAAUAGCAUCAAAAAUGUCCACUUUGUUGGAAAAUAUAUAUUCAUUGAGUACUUUCUGGUAAGUAGGAGGGACAAUGAUGAGAAGAAAAUCAAAAUGCAAAUAAUGGAUUUCUUACCAUGAUGGAAUUUAAAAGAUGAAGUCCCCAAAUUCCACUGUCUUUAAAAUUCCCAGGGUUGCUAAAGUAGUUUGUACAAAAAGAUUGUAUCUAUGAAAACCCACAAUUUGGCAAAGUGUGAUGAGAAUGAGAAGAAAUGGAGGAAAAACAGUGCUCUGUAAAUGGCAGCCAGUACUAGAAAAGAGUGGGUUUGCAUUUUUCUGACUGAAAAUGGGAAAGGAAAUAUUGGAAAUGAAUCGCAUUUCAAAGUAGGAUUUCUAUCCAGGCAAACAGAGGAGAGUCUCAUGAAUAUUCUGAUUUAAAGAUUAUACUGAUGAACAUAUCACACAUGAACUACUAAUUCUCACAAUUCUAGAAUAUGGGCUUUAUAGCCUCAGAGAUAUCCAGUCUCGGGCAAUGGUGUCCCCUCUACCUGACAGCUCCCUCUGCCCGGUAACAUCCACAAAAGACUGAGAAUAAGACUAAAGAAGGCCAAGUGAGUGUUCCAUCCUCAUACCCCUUUGCAGGAGGUACUUGUCUUACCUUCAUUUCCCAGACAAGAGCAUGGAGGUCCCCAGACAUGAAGAGACUGCCCCUGAAUCACACAUGGGUGCUAAGCAGCACUGGAAGGAAAGACAACCUUUGUAACAGCAGCACUCCUCACCUGUUAUCCAGCGCUUUCUCCUUCAGGAGGCUUGGGGUAAAGUGGAACAGCAUUGAAGAGAUUGGCCAACCAUGAAAAAAAUGGAUGAAGAAACUGUAUUUUCAAGCAAAUAAUUAUUCUGUUUAGAAGGUCAUGUGGAGAAAGUGGGAGACAGAAAUGAGGACUCACAUUUCCAUCCCCAGGGGCUAUUUGCCUGCGAGUGCCCAGUUGUUCCACACCAUUUGUUGUAAAGAUUAUCCUUUCUCCACUCAGUUGCCUUUGCACCCUUGUCAAAAAUCACUUGACUGUACAUGUGUGAGUUUAUGUUUGGACUCUGUUUCAUUGAUCUGGUUUUCCAUCCUGACACCAAUACUACAGUUUUGAUUAUUGUCACUUUGUAAUAAAUUUUGAAAUAGAAAACUGCAAGUCCUCUGUGUUUUCUUUCAAAGCUGUGUUAUUUGGAGACAGAGUCUCACUAAGUUGCUAAGUUGCACAAGCUGGGUUUGAACUUGUGAUUUCCUCUAUAUUAGACUCCAGGGAUGCUGGGAUUACAGGCUUACACCACCAUGUCUAGCUGGUCCUUUGCAUUUAUGUAUGAAUUUCACAAUCAGAUCAUUGAUGCGUACAGAAAGAGAAACUUGCUGAUAUUUUGAUUACAUUGAAUCUAUAGAUAAAUUGCAAAAG